AAACAAUCCAACGGUCCAGAUUCAGUCGUGCACUUUAUACCAACCAAACACCCCUAAAUCCUCAUUCAUUCCCAACCUUACCCGACAUCCUCUCUUUCCCAAAUCUCUCUCAUUUCUCUCACUAUCCGACCCUGCCAGUCACAAAUCAUUGCACAAUUCGCGCAAGGUCACAAAUUCAAACCCCAAAUCACUCAAUUUGUCCCCUACAUCCACAAAUCCUGUCGAUACUUCCAUUUUCAUUACCAAAAUCCAAAAGCCCUAAUUUGAACACUAGACCUAAAUAGUUCUACUGAGAACAGUCUGUUCUCCCAUCGUUUUUUCAAAUCCAUGGCAUGCAUGACCGUGUCUUUGACUUCAUUAUCAUUAUUUGACCUCUGGACAUUUGGGCUUUGUACGAUGGGUCUUCGCCUUCAACGGCCAUCUCCUCGUGCCCAGGUAAAUACGUGUUACUUUUUCCCUUUGUUCUUCACUAAUUUCACCUCUAUUGAUGUCAUCAUCCGACUAUCGUCACCUUCCACUACCGAUUUAAAAUCUAAUCGGAACCCUAAGGCUUAAUGCCACUAUAAACGAGGCAUUCAAUGUCCUCACCUAACACACAUCUAAUACAAUCAGAAACACAAAAGAAAGAAAAGAAAAGGAUUAAAAUUUGAGGUUUUCUCGCUAGUCCAAUAAUAAUCUUUGAUUUGUUUUGUUUCCUUUAUCUUUUAUUCUCCGGUAUGAGUUUCAACAGCUGUUGGUCUUGAGUUUGGAUCCUUAAACAACUGUUGAAUUGCCUCUACUUGGUUUGCUGCUCGAUAGAAGGUAAGUACAUAUUGACCCCUUUUUACUUUGAAUUAAUCGUUUGGUUCUAUGGUUUCCUAGUUAUUUCUCUAAUUGUUCGUGCUAGAUAUUAAACUAUGUUUAUCAUGACUUGCCUCAUAUAUAUAUAUAUUGUUUUCACCGUUGAGUUAGGGAUUUUUUGAUCAAGAUAUGUUGUAUUGUUAUCAAACCUAUGCUGUCGAAUUCUAUUCUUAUCAUAUGAUUAAUAAAAAAUGCCUCUAUGUUAAAUGAUGCUCUUGUGGUCAAGCCUCUAUGACUAUUUAAAGUAAUCUCCAUGUUGUUUUUGUGUAUAACUGGCCUCUGUUAGUAAAGUAACACUCGUAUAAGCUUUAUCAUGUUAGCUGAGCCAGUUGAAUCAUAUUCUUGAACUUUUCUUUGUGUUUCUGUAUCCAGAUCAACUUGAUCCUCCUACUUGUGAUAUUGUACUGUUCUUAUAAAUAUUUUUCCUGAAGCCUAUGUAUUUUACCUGAUAACUAGCUGAUAAGUUUGUAGUUGAUAACUUGCCUAUUCUGCAUAUUCAAUGAUCCAUAUAUGGCUAUUAUUCUUUUAUCCUAUUAAAGCUUCAUUGAUCUAGAUCCUAUGCUGAUGAUGUUAUAUGUAUUCUUUUCUGCUAACCUAGUAGUUGUGAUAAAAUUAGGCUUCUAAAAUCUUUCUUGAGAACACUGUUAAUACUUGCCAACACUAAGCCAUUUGAUAUUUGUAAUGUUUUGCUGUUCUGAUUUAGUUCUUACCUCUCAUAUUAACUUGUUAGACUCUAAAUAGCAGCCUGCUUAUGUCAUUGUAAUAGCUCUAUGUGCCCUCUGUGAUGACUUAAAACCAUGUAAUGAACCUUGUUAAUGUACGAAGGAACUUGCAUUCAUGACUAAACAUAACUUGAUUAGGAUAAAACUCUACAGUGAGUACUGAAACUUGCCAUCUGGUGACUGUUUGAGUUGUAUGAGACUUCUGUUGUUAUGUUAUAAACUUAUUGUACCUGAAUGCACACCUGCCAUUAUUAAUUUGGUUAAGUUCACAGACUAUCACCUGACUUUAAUUUGAAGGAUUAUAUGUUUGCACCUAUGUGUCACAAUUCUGAUCUUACCGUGGUAAUACACUGGUCUGAGUUUAUGAUUAUUGUUUGUCAAAAGGCAUGUCUCUAAUGCUUAGGAUGAUCUGUUAUCAUGACUCUCACAGCUAGGCUUAGCCAUGACUUCGCACUAUCCUGAUCCCUAUAUGUCUGUCAAGUUAACUUGUAUCCAACCAUGUGUAGAGCUUUGUUGAGAUACUAUGCUAGUGAACCUAUUUACAUGCCCAACUGUUAGCUCAGUAUGACCUGUUUGCCUUGAUAAGUUAACGGGAAUGUCACUCACCAGCUAAGCUUACUCUUAACUAUACUGAAGCAAAAUUGCAUAUGCACUGUUCUUAUACUCUGAACCUACAUAAAAGAACUCUGAGCAUCAAACCUACAGCGAAGAUAGUAAAAUACGUACUUGAACUCAUCCUUUCAUAGUGCUGGACAAUUACUAUUUCUUAGCCGAAAGACAUGAGUAAUGAAGUAUGCCUAUUGCUUGCAUUUUUGUUAUCUUGUGUGAUUAUGUCCCAAUAGUGACUCAUGCCUACUGUAGUGUCCUGUUCUUAUACUCUAUGCUUGAUAUGAGGUUCUCUAAAGUCAAUAUUGUGCCCUUGGUUGUUUUCUAUGCUUUGAUAAUGAAUUACAAUAUUCCAUUGGUUCACAGCUGCUGAAUAUUUGUGUGUUUGAACCUUUACAGAAUUUACAAUGACUUCCACAUCUACUGUUUAUGUCUUGGCAGUAUGAAAUUGCUCUGUUGAUUCUUUAUUUGUGUUUAAGCCUUUGAGAAAGAAUAUAAGUAAGUGGUUAAUGGUAUUUGGGUGUGAAACCUAGUUGUGAAUAAGGCACCCUUCCCUGACACAAUCACUGCUCGGGGUCCAUAAGACACUCGUGAACUCUGAAGUGCGAGGGGUUCACAAGAGUAUUUUAUCCAUAAACAAAGAUUUAACCAAAGACUUUAAUUACUAACUCCUAUUAAUACUCAUAGGAUUAACAUAAAUAACAUCUGUCCCAUCGCAUUCUUUAGUUCUUUUUCUUUUUUGUCUUAAUCUCUAUCUUAUUUUAUUUUUAUAUUUGAUAUAUACUAAAUUGUCUCUUAUUUCUUUCUGUACAUGCCUCGAAUUGGGCUCACAACCCAAUUGCAAAUACAGCCUGCUCCUUCUCCAUGCAUUGUGGGUCUGCUACCUUGAUUCAAAUCCUGCUUGGCCUAGCUAGCUUAUCAGCCUAACAGUCAAAGAGUCCACCUUCUUCCUUCCUUUACCUUUAAUGAUAUUCAUCGAUGUUUGCUACUUUACAUGUAAAUAUAUCUCUGAAUGACUAACUUUUCUAUUGGAUAAAUUUUGAUAUUUUGAUUAUCUAGGAACAUAGGCAAACCCCAACUAGUAGGUAAAAGCUAAAGUAAGAAUCCUGCUCGCCUUAGUUUAUUUUGAUCGCUAAUUUGAAGCUUAAUCUUUUUAGUAAAAUAAAAGUUUUAUCUUGUUGUACUAACAAUUUUCAAUGAGUUCUUGACUUCGACAGAUUCAAAAGCAAAACGGACCCUCUUGAAAAUCAAAACUUCGAAAAUAAUUGCUAAGGUAUUUUCAAGAAGAAAAACCAAACACAACCAAUGCUUAUAAAUUAACGGUCCUCAACGAGUUUCAAAUACAAGAUUUCUGUUGAAAUUGUAAGGUAUACCCAUCCCAAUUUGAGGUAUAUCUUCAAAUACUUCUCUUAUUCUAUUAAGUUUUAAAAACCACAUUUUCCAAAACACAACUUUUCUUCAAACAAAAGAUUUCUUACAAGAUUUUUUCUCGAAAAUAAAGCAUAUCUAGUUUCCAACUUAAUAAAUGUACAUAUAUAUUUUAAAGGGCGAUUUCUUUUCAAGAUUAUAAAACUCAAGAACUUGAACUUAUUUUCAAAGUACAUAUACAUACCUUUUCUUUAAUAGUGAACUUUUAGGAUAUUUUCACGGUCUUUAAAAAUAUUACUAAGCAGAAUAUAGACAUUCUUUCUUCGGACCUAGACUAAGACUAAAGGGCUACCUCAGGUAGAUUUUAAAGGGUGCCUAACAUCUUUCCCUUGGAAUAACUAGAACCCUUACCCGAAUCUCAGCAGUUAGCAGGCCGUUAGGAUAAUGAUCUUAUAAACUCAUAGGUACCCUAAUAUACCUUAAAAUAUUAGGUGGCGACUCUCUUUAAUCAACUUCAGAUGAACCAUUAGUUGUAUUUUGUUUUGACUAGUGCAAAAUAGGGUGCAACACUUAGAUUCUGACCUUAACAGAUUUAGGCUAGACUUGAACUUUGAGGAUGUUUGUUAUAUUCUACUUUAAUCAUGCUUAACCUGCAG
rnacentral:lncRNA from 1 species